GAUAUUUUUAUACUAAUAUAUAGUUGAGCCAUAACAAAUAGAGGAUGAAAUUUUACUCUCUAAUGUUUACUCUUCCCUUUCCCUUGUCAGGGAAUAAAAAUCGACCACAGAGGCACAGUACACAAGCUGGAAAGAUCACUGGGUAUUUGAAUAACUAGUGUGGAUUAAAUGUAUGUUACUUGUACCUGAAUACUGUACAGUAAGAGUGAGCCAAGUGCUUGCUUUGAAAAGUUGAGUCUAGAGUCUUAACUUUAAUUUAUUAAUGAAGAAACUCUUCAUCUGUAGCUGUGUAGCCCAUUCCUGAAAAAUCAUUGUCUAGGCAUUUGACUGAAUGUAUUAUUUUUCUGGUGUGCCCAUUCAGUCAUCUGCCAGAGGAGGCAAGUCAUCCCUGACCAAACUGCAGUUACAGCUGUGUCGGGUGUCCUGGUGUUUGUGUUUUGUGGUGUUCCUGCUUGCUCUAAUCAAGCUUCUGGAAUAGUUUACUUCAGUUUCCUGUUCUGUGAAGUUUAACUAUUGCUAAUGUAAGGGUUUUUUAUGUGAAGCUUACCAGACACAUCCUGAAAAUGUGACGAUGAAGCUCUGACUUGUUGCCACUGAGAUUUCUACUGGAUGUUCUACUAUGUGACUCUUAAACCCAGGUUUAAAUCCCCAGCAGUCAUACACGUGUUCACUUCUAAAAUGUUUGUGGUAGAAUGAGCAACGCAAAGUGCUGGUGUAUGCUGAGGUAGGGCAAUGAGCUCAUUUACUGACAAGAAGCUGUGCUAAUGCUUUGUUGACAGGGAUUCUGAAAAUGCUGUAUUUAAGGGUUGUCCAGAAAUCCAGAGUUAAAUGGAGACUAGAUAGUGAGUAGUUAAAAAUUAGUAUUAUUGUUCCAUGGGACACAGGGUGUAUUGCUUAAUAAUUCUGUCUUGGACAUUGUCUGCAAAUACUCUUCUUAUGCUGAGGUGGGAAUACUUUCUUAUAUCCCAUUGCAGUCCCACAUUUUUUACCUAUAGUAUUUUUCUCCCCAUGUUGAAGUAUGGGGGAAUAUAGGAGAGAACCGUACUUUCCCUUUUCAGUAUGGCUGUAUAAAUAAUUAGUAAAACAAUUUGAGGUCUUAAAAAGAUAAAUCUGCAUUGCGACAUUAGAAUGAGAAGAGAGAGGGGGACUGUAGACUUUGUUGUUUCAAAAUCAGGAUGAAGAAUCACAGGUUCAGCACAGCAGCAUUUGAAAUCCCUUCUCCAGUACAGGCAGGUGCAGUAUCUGUAAGGAGGAACAUUCACUUCAUCUCCUUAGUUAAGUCCUCAUCCUGCAGCCUGGUGUCUGGUUUGCUUCCCUGUGUUUGUGUUGGACUUGUUAG